AGUGAACGCUGGCGGUAGGCCUAACACAUGCAAGUCGAACGGCAGCACAGUAAGAGCUUGCUCUUACGGGUGGCGAGUGGCGGACGGGUGAGGAAUACAUCGGAAUCUACUUUUUCGUGGGGGAUAACGUAGGGAAACUUACGCUAAUACCGCAUACGACCUACGGGUGAAAGCAGGGGAUCUUCGGACCUUGCGCGAUUGAAUGAGCCGAUGUCGGAUUAGCUAGUUGGCGGGGUAAAGGCCCACCAAGGCGACGAUCCGUAGCUGGUCUGAGAGGAUGAAACGGCCCACCUGGAAAUGGGAACAGGCCCAGCCCCCUAGGGGGGGCAGGAGGGGGGAAUUUGGGAAAAGGGGCGCAAGCCUGAUCCAGCCAUCCCGCGGGGGGAAAGAAGGCCUUGGGGUUGUAAACCCUUUUUGUUGGGAAAGAAAAGCAGCAGGUUAAUACCCCGGUGUUCGGCGGGGCCCAAAAAAAAAAGCACCGGUUAAUUUGGG
rnacentral:rRNA from 1 species